rnacentral:rRNA from 1 species
CCCUUAGAUGUUCUGGGCCGCACGCGCGCUACACUGAUGCAUUCAACGAGUCUAAAACCUGGUCUGAUAGGGCUGGGUAAUCUUUGAAACUGCAUCGUGAUGGGGCUAGAUUAUUGCAAUUAUUAAUCUUCAACGAGGAAUGCCUAGUAAGCGUGAUUCAUCAAAUCGCGUUGAUUACGUCCCUGCCCUUUGUACACACCGCCCGUCGCUCCUACCGAUUGAGUGUGUUAGUGAGGAGUUUGGAUUGGCCUCGGAAGGUGGUUCGCCACCGUCCGUAGCUGAGAAGUUCUCCAAACCGCCCCACUUAGAGGAAGGAGAAGUCGUAACA